rnacentral:tRNA from 1 species
GGAGAUGUAGCUCAGAUGGUAGAGUGCUUGCUUAGCAUGCCAGAGGUAUGUGGAUCGGUACCUUUCAUCUCCA